GUUGAAGUUCAGGUAACACUGAAUGGAGGACCGAACCGACUUACGUUGAAAAGUGAGCGGAUGAACUGAGGGUAGCGGAGAAAUUCCAAUCGAACUUGGAGAUAGCUGGUUCUCUCCGAAAUAGCUUUAGGGCUAGCCUCAAGUGAUGAUUAUUGGAGGUAGAGCACUGUUUGGACGAGGGGCCCCUCUCGGGUUACCGAAUUCAGACAAACUCCGAAUGCCAAAUAAUUUAACUUGGGAGUCAGAAUGUGGGUGAUAAGGUCCAUAUUCGAAAGGGAAACAGCCCAGACCACCAGCUAAGGUCCCAAAAUAUAUGUUAAGUGGAAAAGGAUGUGGCGUUGCCCAGACAACUAGGAUGUUGGCUUAGAAGCAGCCAUCAUUUAAAGAGUGCGUAAUAGCUCACUAGUCGAGUGACACUGCGCCGAAAAUGUACCGGGGCUAAACAUAU
rnacentral:rRNA from 1 species